GUCCACGCCCUAAACGAUGGCAACUAGUUGUUUGGGAUUAACAUCCUUAGUAACGCAGCUAACGCGUGAAGUUGCCCGCCUGGGGAGUACGGUCGCAAGAUUAAAACUCAAAGGAAUUGACGGGGGCCCGCACAAGCGGUGGAUGAUGUGGUUUAAUUCGAUGCAACGCGCAAAACCUUACCUACCCUUGACAUGCCAGGAACCUCGCAGAGAUGUGAGGGUGCCCGAAAGGGAACCUGGACACAGGUGCUGCAUGGCUGUCGU
rnacentral:rRNA from 1 species